GCUGUCUGUGGCUCUGAUGGAAAGAUAUACCAGUGUUUGUCUAACUUUAAGCACCAGAAGUGUCGUAACAAGACAAGUGUGUAUGUAGCCAACAUUCAAAGAUGUCUGACAACCACUGUGUCUCCACUGGCAAUGAGCACACCAUCUGUGGCCUUUCCUUGCAGUGCUCGCUGCUCCUUGUCUCCCAGAGAGCACUGUGAUAACAGAGGAAAAAUCUAUGGCAGUCAAUGUGCUCUGCACUGGGAGAUCUGUCGCUAUCAGAGUCAGGGGCUCACACCUCCUCGUGAGGUAGAGUGCAAUGGAAGUCCU